AUUGAACGCUGGCGGAAUGCUUUACACAUGCAAGUCGAACGGCAGCACGGGGGCAGCCCUGGUGGCGAGUGGCGAACGGGUGAGUAAUACAUCGGAACGUGCCCGGUCGUGGGGGAUAACGUAGCGAAAGUUACGCUAAUACCGCAUACGAUCUGAGGAUGAAAGCGGGGGACCUUCGGGCCUCGCGCGAUCGGAGCGGCCGAUGUCAGAUUAGGUAGUUGGUGGGGUAAAGGCCUACCAAGCCGACGAUCUGUAGCUGGUCUGAGAGGACGACCAGCCACACCGGGACUGAGACACGGCCCAGACUCCUACGGGAGGCAGCAGUGGGGAAUUUUGGACAAUGGGCGCAAGCCUGAUCCAGCCAUUCCGCGUGCAGGACGAAGGCCUUCGGGUUGUAAACUGCUUCUGUAAGGAACGAAAAGGCUCUGGCUAAUACCUGGGGCUCAUGACGGUACCGUAAGAAUAAGCACCGGCUAACUACGUG
rnacentral:rRNA from 1 species